GGCUGGUCCAAAGGUAGUGAGUGAUCUCACUUGACUGUUCACGGUCAGUUACAGAUUGAACUCCUUGUUCUACUCUUGCCGCUUGUCUCACUACUGCACUUGACUGGUCUUUA
ensembl:misc_RNA Y_RNA Y RNA